GACGAACGCUGGCGGCGUGUUUCACACAUGCAAGUCGAACGGUAAGGCCCUUCGGGGUACACGAGUGGCGAACGGGUGAGUAACACGUGGGUGAUCUGCCCUGCACUUCGGGAUAUGCCUGGGAAACUGGGUCUAAUACCGGAUAGGACCACUGCCUGCAUGGGUGGUGGUGGAAAGCUUUUGCGGUGUGGGAUGGGCCCGCGGCCUAUCAGCUUGUUGGUGGGGUGAUGGCCUACCAAGGCGACGACGGGUAGCCGGCCUGAGAGGGUGACCGGCCACACUGGGACUGAGAUACGGCCCAGACUCCUACGGGAGGCAGCAGUGGGGAAUAUUGCACAAUGGGCGCAAGCCUGAUGCAGCGACGCCGCGUGAGGGAUGACGGCCUUCGGGUUGUAAACCUCUUUCAGCACCGACGAAGCGCAAGUGACGGUAGGUGCAGAAGAAGGACCGGCCAACUACGUGCCAGCCGCCGCCGUAA
rnacentral:rRNA from 1 species